GCAUAUCAAUAAGCGGAGGAAAAGAAACCAACCGGGAUUGCCCUAGUAACGGCGAGUGAAGCGGCAAGAGCUCAAAUUUGAAAGCUGGCUCCUUCGGGGUCCGCAUUGUAAUUUGCAGAGGAUGCUUCGGGAGCGGUCCCCAUCUAAGUGCCCUGGAACGGGCCGUCAUAGAGGGUGAGAAUCCCGUAUGGGAUGGGGUGCCCGCGCCCGUGUGAAGCUCCUUCGACGAGUCGAGUUGUUUGGGAAUGCAGCUCUAAUUGGGUGGUAAAUUUCAUCUAAAGCUAAAUAUUGGCCGGAGACCGAUAGCGCACAAGUAGAGUGAUCGAAAGAUGAAAAGCACUUUGAAAAGAGAGUUAAACAGCACGUGAAAUUGUUGAAAGGGAAGCGCUUGCGAUCAGACUCGCUCGCGGGGUUCAGCCGGCCUUCGGGCCGGUGUACUUCCCCGCGGGCGGGCCAGCGUCGGUUUGGGCGGCCGGUCAAAGGCCCCUGGAAUGUAACGCCUCUCGGGGCGUCUUAUAGCCAGGGGUGCCAUGCGGCCUGCCCGGACCGAGGAACGCGCUUCGGCUCGGACGCUGGCAUAAUGGUCGUAAGCGACCCGUCUUGAAACACGGACCAAGGAGUCUAACAUCUACGCGAGUGUUCGGGUGUCAAACCCGUGCGCGCAGUGAAAGCGAACGGAGGUGGGAACCCCUCGGGGUGCACCAUCGACCGAUCCUGAUGUCUUCGGAUGGAUUUGAGUAAGAGCGUAGCUGUUGGGACCCGAAAGAUGGUGAACUAUGCCUGAAUAGGGCGAAGCCAGAGGAAACUCUGGUGGAGGCUCGCAGCGGUUCUGACGUGCAAAUCGAUCGUCAAAUUUGGGUAUAGGGGCGAAAGACUAAUCGACCAAC
rnacentral:rRNA from 1 species